rnacentral:rRNA from 1 species
CCUUGAGUUCGGGCCGCACGCGCGCUACACUGAUGAAGUCAACGAGUUUAUAACCUUGGCCGGAAGGUCUGGGUAAUCUUUUGAAACUUCAUCGUGCUGGGGAUAGAGCAUUGCAAUUAUUGCUCUUCAACGAGGAAUUCCUAGUAAGCGUGAGUCAUCAGCUCGCGUUGAUUACGUCCCUGCCCUUUGUACACACCGCCCGUCGCUACUACCGAUUGAACGGCUUAGUGAGUCCUUUGGAUUGUUGGAAACUGAUUGGCAACAGUCGGUUUCCGACGAGAAGUUGGGCAAACUUGGUCGUUUAGAGGAAGUAAAAGUCGUAACAAGGUUUCCGUAGGUGAACCUGCGGAAGGAUCAUUACCAAAAGAUAAUCUUUCAUUCGAAAGAUCUUUUCCUUUGUGCUGGCUUUGACCGUAUGUAAUUUUGGGACUUAAACAUGGUAGCCCUAUGGGUUGCCGGUCCCAAAAACAAUAUAUCAUCCUUAUGAAAACUUACUGAACAACUAAACAAUGAUUUAAUAAUCUGUUUAAAACAACUUUCAACAACGGAUCUCUUGGUUCUCGCAUCGAUGAAGAACGCAGCGAAAUGCGAUACGUAAUGUGAAUUGCAGAAUUCAGUGAAUCAUCGAAUCUUUGAACGCACAUUGCACUCCUUGGUAUUCCGAGGAGUAUGCCUGUUUCAGUAUCAUGAGCACUCUCACACCUAACCUUUGGGUUAUGAUGUGGAAUUGGGAUGCGCCGACUUUCAUUAACCGGCACUCCUAAAAUGUAGCUCUUGGCUGUUUCCUACUACACAAUUUGGCCUAAUAGUUUUGACUUUUGUCAAAUCUUUGGCUACAUUUGCUUCUGGAAAUCAGUCUUGGAUAAUACAGAAAACUCCAUUUCAAACUUUGAUCUGAAAUCAGGUAGGGCUACCCCCCUGAACUUAAGCAUAUCAAUAAC